GCUCCUUUGCCAAAGGCAACACAAAGACACGCACCUUCUGAAGAGCCCGAAGGCUCUGUUGAUCCGGGGAUCGCUGAAGCGACUGGAAAGAGGACAGAGCCACAGGAGGCGAAAGGAAGGCAAGCCGUGGAUCUUUUAAAAGGAGCACCCCGAAAUCGGAGAGUGAACUGCGGAGUGUUGUUGUGUAUCGUAGCGCCGAGUUGGGCUCGCCGGAUACGCUGCUUGGACCGCCGUAUUGCUCUCUCUCUCUCUCGUUGGACCUUAGCUUUAUGCCAAGGAGGAUAUCGACAACCUUAUAGGUGGAAUACUAGACGGACACUGACGUGGACGAGAGGAACGGAGGAAGAGGGAAACUUGCUGCUGUGAGUUUGCAUCUGUGAAGAAGUGAUAUGGUGGCUGGAAAAAGCCUCAUUCAUGCAUUUGGAGAUUAUUACAGCGUGAAGUCAACCUGGGACGAAGGCAGACAGUAAUUUGUUUUCAAGAGCGAGCGAGUGGCCCUACCCCUGUAUCAGCGCGGUGGGUGAGCCGAAGGGUCCUUGUGUGGAAGCAGCUACAGUGACGACAACAAAGAAACACUAGGCCAUCUACCAUCUCCCUUUUUUUCGCCCAGAGCAAAGUGGAAGAAGACGGGUGUCAUUGUGUGCACUGAGCGUGGUGGGUGAGUCUUUGGAUAUAGAAAUUUUCACUUGAACUGGUGCUGUGUAAUGCUGUGUAUUGCAGUGAGAGUGCUGUGUCUUGUCUGACGUAAUCCCGCCUUCAGUCACUCGCCCCGGGACGACGAAGAGGAAAAACGGCGCUAGAAAACAUCUGUACAAUUAUGCUGUAGUGUGUUUCAGUUUAACAGUAUUACGGAGUGGCGGUGAAGAAUUGUGCGAUUGGCGGUGUGUGUGAGUAUUACACCUACUGUUGUUACUUUACCUGUGUCUGUUCCAUCAUUACAGAGUGGAGGCGAGUGAGAUCCGCCGGCCCGAGGUCUCGACGAAAGGGCGCCCCGGUCCAGUUUUCGAUCGACCAACGGGUCUCGAGGAAAGGGCAGCGCUCGACCCGGUGUGCUGGCGUGACGUCCUCGCCCCUCUGCCAAUCAACGAGUCCGCCGAGUGGGUCCUGGCCCCCGGCGUCUCAUUGCAAACCACUGUCCAAUCAACGCACUGCAUAGCUAGCCAGCGUUAAGCCCGCCACCCGCAGUCAUCUGUGGAGAGAAAGAGAGCCAGCUCGUCUGUGGAGAGAAAGAGAGCCAGCGUGAGCACUGAGAUAUUGAGCUGUGGAGAGAGAGCCAUACCUACCUGGGAGCUGUAACCAGCACAGAGGUGAGAGAGAGAACCUUAGAAUCAAUUCACUGUGCCCUUGCAUCCCGCAGUCAGCUGUGGAGAGAAAGAGAGUCAGCGUGAGCACUGAGAUAUUGAGCUGUGGAGAGAGCCAUACCUACCUAGAAGCUGUAACCAGCAUAGAGGUGAGAGAAAACCUGGGAAACGAUUCACUGUGUCCUUACAUCCCAGCAGUCGUCUGUGGAGAGAAAGAGAGCCAGCUCGUCUGUGGAGAGAAAGAGAACUAGCGUGAACGCUGAGAUGCCGAGCUGUGAAGAGAGCCUAGAGGGGCCGUUAUUUUAAGUUCCCCCUUUUCCCUGCCCUAUUUAUUAUUUUUAAGUAAAUUAAAUAAAGUACAUUUUAAUUUA